rnacentral:tRNA from 1 species
GGAGAGGUACCGAAGCGGUCAUAACGGCGCCGACUCGAAAUCGGAUGGUCAAGGAAACUUGGCACGUGGGUUCGAAUCCCACCCUCUCCGCCA